AACGAACGCUGGCGGCAGGCUUAACACAUGCAAGUCGAGCGCCCCGCAAGGGGAGCGGCAGACGGGUGUGUAACGCGUGGGAAUCUACCCAUCUCUACGGAAUAACGCAUGGAAACGUGUGCUAAUACCGUAUACGUCCUUCGGGAGAAAGAUUUAUCGGAGAUGGAUGAGCCCGCGUUGGAUUAGCUAGUUGGUGGGGUAAAGGCCUACCAAGGCGACGAUCCAUAGCUGGUCUGAGGGGAUGAUCAGCCACACUGGGACUGAGACACGGCCCAGACUCCUACGGGAGGCAGCAGUGGGGAAUAUUGGACAAUGGGCGCAAGCCUGAUCCAGCCAUGCCGCGUGAGUGAUGAAGGCCCUAGGGUUGUAAAGCUCUUUCACCGGUGAAGAUAAUGACGGUAACCGGAGAAGAAGCCCCGGCUAACUUCGUGCCAGCCGCCGCGGUAAAAC
rnacentral:rRNA from 1 species